rnacentral:lncRNA from 1 species
CUGAGCUUAGCUGCAAGAACAGAACAGUGGCUUGUAACGUCCCUGUGCCUUUAUUCAGUUUAAUAGUCAAUGAGCCUAGAUACAAGGGAUCCCUUCUGAAGGGCAGGAGGAUAUUAUGGGCACUACUGAAUAUUUUUAGAGUGGGUGGGUUUUUUUGUUUUUUUCUUUUUUGGGUUGUUUUGUUUGUUUUGUUUUGUUUUGUUUUUUGGAAUGCGGACUUUUUGAUACAGGCUGAGCAUCCCAAAUCUGAAAUCUGCAAUGCUCCAAAAUCUGAAACUUUUUGAGCACCGACAUCACACUCAAAGGAAAUGCUCACUGGAGCAUUUUGGGUUUCAGAUCUUAGGACUGGGGAUGUUCAACCAAUAAGUAUAACGCAAAUAUUCCAAAAUUGGAAAAAAAUCAAAUUCUAAAACGCUUCCGGUUCCAAGCAUUUCAGAGAAGGAAUAUUCUGCUUGUACUAACUAUGCCACGAAGUUGCUGUGUUUAACGUGGCGGCCUACAGAGGAGGAGGCUGUACCUCAUGGUCCGGGGAGACGGUGCUCUCAAAAGUUCCAGAAAAGGGAUGGAACAAAUUUGGAGCACCUACUUUGGGCCAGGACUCAUUUAAGCUUCAAGAAACCUAGGAAGGAGGCAACUUCCCGCCAUCUUAUAGGUGGAGAGACUGAGGGUAAGCAGUUUGGGCUGGACGCAGAUGGACGCCCUUCUGAUGAUCUCAGCGAGACACUACCCACUCAUGGUCAGCUAGGAAUCAAGUGGAGGCUGACUGGUCUCACCCACCUGUCUGGUAGUUGAUGGCUACGGGCAACACGAAUGGCUGAGCCAUGUGCUCUCAUGAACCCAGCUUCCCAGGGCAGCAAGAGAGCCAGCCCCAAUGUGUGAACACUUUUUAAAGCCUUUGGUGGCUUGUUUGCUAAUGUCCCAGGAGCCACGUAAGACAUAAGGCCAGUGCAGAGCCAGUGUGGGAGGGGACUAUCCAAGGGGCAGAUAGAGGAAGUUAAACAAAUUAUGGCCGUUUUUGUAAUCUGCAACAAGAACUCCGUUCAAGGAACACACUAAAUGCAUGGCAGAGCUUCCUCUUUGAUCUUCUGAGCUGACAGGCAUGUGGUGAGCACAGCCUCAUGUGUCCCUAAUGUGUUCCAGACACACUUAGCACUUCCCACACAGCCAUGUAAACUGCCCGGUCCUCACCGAACUUUCUACUCCGACUGAUCUUGAGAGGCACGUGUCUCAGGAUUUAAAUAAAAAUGAACAAAUAAAUGUAUUUAUAAA